rnacentral:rRNA from 1 species
UACAGAGGUCUCAAGCGUUGUUCGGAUUCAUUGGGCGUAAAGGGCGCGUAGGCUGCGGGGCAAGUCGGGUGUGAAAUCUCAGAGCUCAACUCUGAAACUGCACUCGAUACUGCUUUGCUUGAGGACUGGAGAGGAGAUUGGAAUUCACGGUGUAGCAGUGAAAUGCGUAGAUAUCAGGAGGAACACCAAUAGCGAAGGCAGCUCGCUGGGACGGUACUGACGCUAAGGCGCGAAAGCGUGGGGAGCGAACAGG